rnacentral:lncRNA from 1 species
CUCCACAGGGUAUGAGGCUGGGGUUGAGACCCCCUCCAAGGUGCAAAAAGUACCUAGAACCUGCGGAGCAACUGGACUGGCGACGAGGAAAGCUGGAAUCCCGCAUGGAUGAACAGGAAGCGGGGCUGGUCUGGCAGCGCCGCGUCCUCUCUCCGGGCCGCUGAUUCUGGAAUCUCCAGCGCGGGGCCAAGGGCCCACGCUCCUGGAGAAGGCGGUGAGUGCGUCCUCAGGGAGCGGACAGAGCCGGAGCAGGAAAGGUCAUGGCCAUCAGAAGCCGGGCAAGAGCGGCUGAGCCUUCUGUGCGCUUGGCUCGUGGGAUUCUUUCCCCCUUGGCCAGGGACACGUCAAAGACUCUCCGCGCACCGCGAUCUUCCUGUCCCGCGAGUCCCCGACGCCCGAGUCCGUUCUGCGCCUACACAGACGGAACCCGGGGGCUCAGGCAGACCCUAAGUCUUGCCCAAAGCUUCGCAGUCGGGCAGCAGUGGAGCCAGGAUUUGGAAGUAAGAGGACCUGCGGUGCUUCCCUGCAGUCUCCUGCGCUGCGUCCCACGCCCCGACAACACGCACGCAAC